rnacentral:rRNA from 1 species
CUUAAAUUGAAGAGUUUGAUCAUGGCUCAGAUUGAACGCUGGCGGCAGGCCUAACACAUGCAAGUCGAGCGGUAGCACAGAAGAGCUUGCUCUUU